GACGAACCGUGCGAACGUUGUUCGGAAUCACUGGGCUUAAAGGGCGCGUAGGCGGUCUCCCAAGUCCGGGGUGAAAUCUUCGGCCUAACCGGAAAAGGGCCUUGGAUACUGGGGGACUCGAGGGGGUAGGGCAAGCGGAACUUCCGGUGGAGCGGUGAAAUGCGUUGAUAUCGGAAGGAACGCCGGCGGCGAAAGCGGCUGCUGGACCCCAUCUGACGCUGAGGCGCGAAAGCCAGGGGAGCGAACGGG
rnacentral:rRNA from 1 species